rnacentral:lncRNA from 1 species
AAUUAAUGGGCUUAUUGGCCACUUAAGGCCCUAAGGCCCAUGCAUGAAGGCCCAAAGCCCAUAAAGCCCACGAAGCCCAUCUCUAAAAUCUAUAAAUAGAGGUGUUGGGGUGCUCAUUAUAACAACUCGAAGGAGCGGAAGAUCGAAGAGCAUAAAGAAUUCUCUCUAGUAUCACAAGUUGAAGUGGAAGAUUGAGGAGUUCAAAGAAUUCUAUCAAGUAUUCAAGUAUUCAUCAAGUAUCCUUCAAAUCUUCAAGAUCUUCAAGGCAACAUUCAAGUAUCCUUCGAAUAUUCAAGUAUUUGAGCAUUCAAAUCUUCAAGUAUCCUUCGAAUCUUCAAGUAUUUGAGCGUUCAAAUCUUCAAGUAUCCUUCAAACUCUUCAAGUAUUCCUGCAAAUCUUUGAAGUGAUCUUCAAGUAUCCAAAGAACUCAAGUUCAAAAGCUUCAAGGCGUUCUUACAAAUUCCAAGAACGAUCUUCCUCAAAUCAAAUCAACCAAGUCCCAAAGCUUCAAGGCGUUCUUACAAAUUCUAAGGACGUUCUUCUCAAAUCAAAUCAAGUUCAACGUUCAAUUCAAAAUCAUGACUUAAGUCCCUUGGAUUGGCGUCAUCAAAUCAAGUAUUUCAAUAACCUUCGAGCUUGUUCAAGAAUCAAAUGGAAGAGAAGAAUCAGAGGAUUAACUAGAGAUUGCAACCCGCAUAAAUCUAUCUUCAAAUCUAUCAAAUUAUCUUUGUAACGCGUUUUGUAUUUUAUCAAAUUGAAAUACAAAAAUUUGUGUUUACAAAUUUUGGCACGCCCAGUGGGACAUCUCUACCUCUCAUCUCUACUCUUCACCAAAAAUCUUGAACUAUGUCUACUCAAUCAAAUGCAGCUGCUCCAGCUUCAUCCAAAGUUUCUUCGGCAAGCGUCGGUAUGAUAACGCGAAGCAAAUCAAAAUCGAUGCAAGGAGUAUCCAAGCCGAUCUUUCAUCUUCCAUCUAUCCAUGAAGAAGAUGACAACUCUAAGAGAAGCUUCACAUUCCCCACUGAAAAUUAUCAACUCCAUGCAAGUGUCAUGAUGACAAACACUUCCACCAUGGAGGAACAACUCUUGAACUUAACAAAGAUGGUUGAAUCUCUAACCAAGCACAUCCAAGAGCAAGAUGCCCAGAUUGCAAAGCUCAAAGGAGAAAAGGGAGAAAAAAGAGAUUCAAGCCACGCCAACAACGAUAGGGAAGGCGAAGAAAGCGAAGAAGAUGGAGAGAAUAACGAUGAAGAAAUCUCCAAAGAUAAGCCAAAGAGUGAUGGAAAAAAGCCUUCAGGAAAUGACACUCUCUUCUCGUCUGGUGGCCUCAUUCCCAUCAACCAACUCAAAGAGUUCAUCGAAGCAACAAUGAAGAGUAACUCUGCUAGAAACUCAAAGUCAUCAUUGAUCUACUCCAAGCCAUAUACUCGGCGAAUCGACGACUUGAGGAUGCCUCUUGGUUAUCAGCCCCCAAAUUCCAACAAUUUGAUGGCCAAGGAAAUCCGAGACAACACGUGGCUCAUUUCAUUGAAACAUGCAACAACGCUGGUACUUAUGGAGAUCAUUUGGUCAAACAGUUUGUUCGCUCAUUGAAAGGUAAUGCCUUUGAUUGGUACACCGACUUAGAAUCAAACUCAAUUGAUAGUUGGGAACAACUGGAGCAUGAGUUCCUCAACCGCUUCUAUAGCACUAGAAGAACUGUCAGCAUGGUGGAGCUCACAAGUUCGCGUCAAUUCAAAGAAGAGCCAGUCAUUGACUACAUCAACCGAUGGAGAAACCUUUGUCUCAACUGCAAGGACCGAUUGUCUGAAUCAUCUGCCAUCGAAAUGUGUAUUCAAGGGAUGCAUUGGGGCUUGCAAUACAUCUUGCGAGGAAUCCAGCCAAGAACAUUCGAGGAACUAGCCACUAGAGCUCAUGACAUGGAGUUGAGCAUGAUGGCAAGCGGGAUCGAAGGACCACCCAUCCGAGAACCUCACAAAUUCAAGCCAGAAUUCAAGAAAGGAGGAAAACCAUAUGACGAAACACCAAAGAGAGAAUCCAUGGCGAUUAAGGCAACUUCGGUGAAAUUCUUAAAGAGAGAAGCUGGUCAAGAAGGCAACCAGAACACUUCACGAGACAAUCAGAACUCUUCCCGAGACUUGGGGCAAAGAAGACCUACCUUGAAAGAAAUGCAACAAAAACAAUAUCCAUUCUUAGACUCUGAUGUUUCAGGAAUUUUUGAUGACCUGCUCAAAGAAAAGCUUAUCGAGUUGCCAGAAAUGAAGCGACCAAAUGAAGCAGGGAGGACAGACGAUCCAAGUUACUGCAAAUACCAUCGUCUGGUUGGGCACCCCAUACAUGAUUGCUUCAUCUUCAAAGACAGGGUCAUGCGGUUAGCUCGAGAAGGAAAAUAUCUCUUGAAGAAGAGCUACUGUGUAAAUAUGGUCUCCACCGACUUGAAUGACAUAAUAGAAGGUAUUGGAGCUCUGUAUGAUACAUCCAAUCAAGUAGAUGAAGAACUGAGCUAAAAUGGAUGAAGACAUGAUGCAUUGGCAAUCACAUUCUCCAAUGAAGACUUGCAGCUUGGAUCUGAACCUCAUAACAGGCCAUUGUUCGUGAGUUGUUAUACACAGGAGCAGAAGGUCAAUCGAAUUCUCAUCGAUGGAGGCUCGCGGUCAAUAUUUUGCCACUAAGGACUUUGAAGCAAUUGGGAAUCCAAGAGAGAGCUGUCAAACAGUCGAUUGAUGAUCAAGGUUUCAACAUGAAGGGCAAAGAGCUCUUGGAACUAUAAGGUGCGAUUGCGAUGCAGGACAUGGAUCACGCGUUGCUUCAUGUAUGAUGCAACUCCUACAAAUGCUUCUGGGUCGACCAUGGCUUCAUGAAAAUGGUGUUUUCCUUCUACAUUGCACCAAUGCUUCAAUACUAUCAAAAUGGCCCUAAGAAAAGUGGUUGGUGAUCAAAAGCCGUUUACGGAAGCAGAAUCACAUUUUGCUGAUGCUAAGUUCUAUUUGGAAAGAACCAAAGUCUCAAUGGUGAAAGAUGAUACAUCACAUGACGAGUUGAGAUCUUGCCAGGAGAAAAAGAAGGAAGAAUCUUUUCUAAAGAUGGAAGGAUUCACCAUGCCUUUAACGAAGAUUGAUGCCAAGAAGCCAAUUCUCCAACCAUUUGAAGGGUUUGUCCGACCAAAGCAAAGUGGCGUCACAGAGCAUGAAGAUCUCUCAAACAAAGAACUCUCAAAGCACUUUGGUCGAAGGCAUAUAAACUCCUCGUGAAUGCUGGAUACAAUCCUCAAGAAAGCUCUAUGUCAAGGUCUCAUUUGGAAAAGACUGAUAACGCAGGCCAAAACUCCAAAGCAGGUUUGGGAUAUACAGGCAAGCCCUUCGAUGCCAUCAAAGAGCCCUAACUAUGCUAGCACCACAAACCUGGAAUCUUCAACAUCGGAGAACCCAAAGGGUUUCUUUUUCAAGAUGGGUAGAAGAGAAGCUCAACAGUAUCUGUCUUUAAAAGACUUGGCAAAGGCAAAUCAUGGAAACGAAGCAAGACAAAAGGGAGUGAUGAACUGCACAUAACAGAGAAAUGGAGAAGUUUGAUCCCUCCUCGAAUGAAAAGAUACACCACUUUGUUAUGUCAUGUGGGAAAAAAUGAAAGCUCAAUGAAGACCACCAUCUUCACACGAGAUGCCAUAGAUCAAGAAGAUAGAGAAAGUGUGGCUUCCUCUUACUACACUACUAAUAGUGCUAGUAAUCCAGUUCCUCUUCCUCAUACUACUCAAAGUCAAGUGCGCGUGAAAUUGCAAGUCUCGUUAGAAGUGGCGUUAUCACAACAGCGUGCAGAGAAUAUAGCCUUCAUACGCAGAGAAAUGAAAGCAUAAGAGUGUUUUGAUUGCAAAGAUCUCGCCGAAAAGAUGAAGACUGUCACAGCAAACCAUAUCACCUCCUGCGAGAAAAUGGUCGUUGGAGAAGAGAAUUCGCACUUGAGCCCCAAAGAACUGGAAACUCUGGAUGAAGAGAGACUAGAAGUCCAGCAAAAAUUGGAAUACUAUCAAGCUCUUCCUUCAAGAUCCUUCAACAAAGCAGUGCGAGCGCCCUCUUUUCAAAUUGGAGACAUGGCCCUCGCUGCAAGGAGGCCAAUUGUUAUCACUCUCAACGGAAAGUUCUUGAAGUACUACUAUCCUUGAAGGGUGGUAGAAGUUGAAGCAUGUAUAUAUGUGUAUAGUUAAAUUAAAAAAAAAAAAAAAGAAAAAAAAAAAAGAAAAACAAAAAAAAAAAAAAAUAAGAAAAAGACAAAGAAAAAAGACAAAAGAAAAAAAAAAAAAAACAGAAAAGACCGAAAAGAUGAGUCAGAUGAGAAACCAGAAAUGAAGAAAAACAACAAAAUGGAGCGUAUGAAGACAGCUCCUUGACGCACGAGCCUAAACUGCAUGUUACUCCUGGCCCGCAUGAGUAUAAACUGUGCACGGCACCCAAUCCAAACACUUGUUGAUCCUAUGAACUACGUUUUGACUUGAUCCCUUUCAAAAGGGUACGUAGGCAGCUUAGAUAAUUUCUAUUCAGUCAUAUUGUGUUUGACUCUUUUUCAAUUUAUAUCAUCAAGUUAUGAUUUAAGUUGAUUAUGUGAAGCCGAAUAUGUCUCAAAUUGGGAAGAAAAUCAAGCCAUCAAAAGAAGCACAAGCAUUUGGAGAAGAUGUCAAAAUAUCCAUCACAAACCAAAUAAGAAUCAUCAAGAGAGAAAUGAUAGAAACUGCGGUUUGCACCAAUACUAAGCAAAUGGGUCUUGAUCCUCCAAAGUUCUCUGAGCAGAGAUCAAAAGUGACUCUGAAGUCUUCAAAAUUCCGCAGCAUUUCCUCAUCAACAUGUGCAACUUUAUGUUUGUCAAAAUCUCUUUUUGAAUUCUGGGAUUGCACCUCGGACAAUAUGAAAGGAGCACUAUCUUGCUUGAAGGACAACGUCAUCUCCUGUCUUCCACCUCUCCUAUCAUAGCAAGACACUUACCUUGAUCAAAGCAAUUCGGACGAUGGCUUCAUUCUCCUUGGCUUAAGUCAUCAAGAAGAAAAUACUCAAUCUUCUCGAGCCGUUGUGCAGAAUUCUCCCAACUUCGUGAGAUGCCAAACAUAACAACAACCUCACUCAACCAGAUUCAAACAAUCCCAGGCCUGAGCGCACCCAAGACCUGUCAAAGAAUUGAGUAUCUGGCAUUGAGGUCGGCUAUGCAUCGACAAAUUCACUUCUCUCCAAGCUAAAGUUGAAUGCGCUCGUGGAGUUGAAACACAUGUUCGCCAAACAUAAUAGAACACCAUUGAGUCAUCUAGCCUGCUCGAAUGCGCGCAAAGAGAAAAUGUAACCAGCAAUCUUCAAAGGUUAGACUCACAAUGGCCCAGAUCCGAGCGCACCCGAAAUCUGAUUAAAAGCCAAUUGAGCCACCUAAAGUGCAAAGUAAACAUCACUCAAAUAAGGUUGGCAAAUAGGUGCUGCUAUUUUGAUGAACUCUCUGAGGAUGUCUUUAGUCGGCUGAUGGAAUGUCAAGACGAAAGAAAAGACAAUAGAUCCGAACUUUGCAAAUAUCAAAGCAUCUCGUUUGGGGCAAAAUCUGCCAUGAAGUUGGUUAUAAGACAUGCCAAUUCAAUACAAUUGCAACUAAUUUGACCUCGGUUGACAUCAAUUAACCAUGAGCAUUCCUGCUCAAAGCGCGACAAAGCGCUCAGAUCUUUUGACUCAAAAAAAAGGACUUUUGCUAUUGAGUGCACUAGCCUUGGUCUUGCUUGGAACUUCGCGCCAAUUUCCAGUAUCUACCAAAAAAAAAAAAACCAUCAGUAAAUGGGCUUGGUGUAAUUAAGACGGGCUUUCUCCAAAUAGACAUGAUUUAAUGGUCUUCUCUUAAUUCUUCCUCACGCUGAAAUAGAAGCACGGAAACACAGAAGUCCAGUUGCUCAUUUCUUCUUCGAUCCGCGCUGCCUCUAAUCCGACGAGGCCAUGCCCUGGCUGUUGCUGCCGCCGCCGUGCCGCUGCAUUCACUCUGCCCUCGCAGCAUGUCGCCAUCGAAGCCUGAAAUAAUCCGCGUAUCGCCGCCUGAUGCCGCGCUUCUCUGCACGCUCGACAAGAUCAAAGCAACUCCCUUACCCGAGUUCAACCUCCAAUACCAUCGAGCCUCCAUCUCCGACAUGGCCACCGCAGCACCCUCGUGCCAAGUGUUUCCAGAAAUCUGGCAAGAAGCCGUCUCCAUUCCUCUAAAAUGUCGUUGCCGUUCACUGCUGCCAACUGCAAGAAAAAUAAACAAUAUUCAAAUUUGGGGUUAGAAAAAAAAAAAAAAAAAGAAGGUAGAUUUACAAAACGAAAAAAAAAGGAUAAUGAUAACAACAAGCCACACCCAGUAGAAAAGGUUUAAAGUUAAAGUCUUCCAUUCAAAACACUCCAGCAACACGCACGCCUACUUUAUUCCACUUUAUUCUUCUCUCACCCUAUUCCAUUACCCAAAUUACUGGGCUCUUAAUUUGUAUGAGAGAAUCUAUUGAAGAAAAAGGCAAUUAGAUGGACUCAGCGGCGCUGAGCUUCGGAGGUACGGUGGUGAACGUGAAGCAGCCCACUGCCCCGGAGAAGGACGUGCCCCCGCAGCCGGAGCCCGAGCCCGAGCCGGAAAAGGUGGCAGCGCCUGCGGAGAAGAAGAAAGAAGAUGGGCGACGUGAUUCGGCAAUACUUGAAGACCGCGAGAAAGCCGACAGCGGCAGCAUGCGCGGCUGAGGAGGUGCCGGUGGCGGAGAAAACCCACUGCCCCGAAGAAGGACGUGCCCUCGCAGCCGGAGCCCGAACCCGAGCCGGAAAAGGUGGCGACACCUGCGGAGAAGGAGAAAGAUGAAGCGGCGACGGCGGAUGAGAAGGUUGCCUUCGAUCCCGCUAGCAAAUAGCAUCAGUUUGAUUCAUGGAUCCACCAUCGACAAUCAAAGGUUGUUAAUUUAGAGUCGAAGUCUGAGAAGGCAGGGAAGCGACUUAAGAACAAUGUAAAUGAUGGUAGCACUAUGCAACCUGAGGUGGUGGAGAUAUCCAAAACUAAAACAAGGGAGUCGGCAACUAGUGAGGCAACUAGACUCUCUCGUACUUCACGAAACUCAGAAGCGAAAAAGUAGUUGAAACGGAAGAGGAGUUUAGAUAAAACUUCAAAAGCCAACUUCUUUAACUUCCUAGAUAUGGAAACGAAUGGAAUAAUGGCGUCAGCAGAGGAGGAUAUGCGUUUGGAGAGGAGACUUGCGAAGAAGCUCAAGGUAAAGAAGAGGAGAUUUCCUACUGCUAGUAUCAGAAAUGCAAAUGGCUACUGAAAUCUACGGAAUUGGUGAAUGAGGAAGAGUGGCAACAUUGUUUCUAUUUAUAGGCAAACUUCUCACCAAAAAAAAAUCUUAGCUACCAAAUCCUUGAACUUAGCCGCCGAAGAGUGGAGUUCCAGCUAUUCUUCCAACUAUGAAAGGCCCUUCAAAACAAGCUGUUAAAGCUUAAAAGGGACUACAUUUAAUGCAACGAAGGACGUUUAUUUGCUGUCAAAUGUGCUUAUACGCAGCUGAAAAGCUAAAGUUGUUGCAUGGGGUCAUAAAUGGGCCUAAGAAGAAUAAGUAUAAUUGGGCCUAGUUUAGUCGACUGAUGGAACUUCAAACUUCAAAAAAAAAGGUAUGAAGUAGAGCUGUGUUUUUGGAUAAGCAAAUCGCACGGACUGCUUUUUUUUUAAAAAAAAAAAAAAAAAAAUCAAGUCAAGAACUCCUAAAUACGAGUAUAAACUAUUUAUAAAUUCAAAAAAAUUCAAGCACUCCUAAAUACGAGUAUAAACUAUUUAAAAUUCCAAAAUCAAAUGAAGAACUCCUAAAUACGAGUAUAAACUAUUUACAAAUUCAAACAAAAUGAAGAACUCCUAAAUACGAGUAUAAACUAUUUACAAAUUUCAAGAAAUUCAAGAACUCCUAAAUACGAGUAUAAACUAUUUACAAAUUCAAAGAAAUUCAAGAACUCCUAAAUACGAGUAUAAACUAUUAAAUUCCAAAUAAAAUCAAGAACUCCUAAAUACGAGUAUAAACUAUUUAUAAAUUCAAAGAAAUUGAAGAACUCCUAAAUACGAGUAUAAACUAUUACAAAAUUCAAAAUCAAGAACUCCGCGAUAAGAGUUUAAACUAUCAAGAUAAAUUUCGAGACUCGUCUAUUACCAAAGACGUUUCGUCCAUAAACAAGUCUCGAUGGGGCAAUUUGUAGACAAUUAAAUUGUCGUCGAAUUAAAUCGUGCCACGUGUAAAUUCAUGAAUUAAAUAUUCAAUUAUAUUUUCUAUUUUAUUAAAUGGGAUUUUAUUCCUAAUUAAAUAGAUAUAUAUGAUUAAUAUUUAAUAAAAUGAAUUAAUGGGCUUAUUGGCCACUUAAGGCCCUAAGGCCCAUACAUGGAGGCCCAAAGCCCAUAAAGCCCACGAAGCCCAUCUCUAAAAUCUAUAAAUAGAGGUGUUGGGGUGCUCAUUAUAACAACGUGAAGGAACGGAAGAUCGAAGAGUAUAAAGAAUUCUCUCUAGUAUCGCAAGUUGAAAGAGGCGAAGAAUUGGAGAGUUCAAGUAUUCUUCCAAGUAUUCAAGUAUCUUGAAGAAUUCUAUCUAGCGUUCAAGUCUUCUUCGAAUCUUCAAGUAUUUGAGCAUUCAAAUCUUCAAGUAUCCUUCGAAAUCUUCAAG